rnacentral:rRNA from 1 species
UGAGGAAUAUUGGUCAAUGGGCGUUAGCCUGAACCAGCCAAGUAGCGUGAAGGAUGAAGGCUCUCUGGGUCGUAAACUUCUUUUAUAUAAGAAUAAAGUGCAGUAUGUAUACUGUUUUGUAUGUAUUAUAUGAAUAAGGAUCGGCUAACUCCGUGCCAGCAGCCGCGGUAAUACGGAGGAUCCGAGCGUUAUCCGGAUUUAUUGGGUUUAAAGGGAGCGUAGGUGGACUGGUAAGUCAGUUGUGAAAGUUUGCGGCUCAACCGUAAAAUUGCAGUUGAUACUGUCAGUCUUGAGUACAGUAGAGGUGGGCGGAAUUCGUGGUGUAGCGGUGAAAUGCUUAGAUAUCACGAAGAACUCCGAUUGCGAAGGCAGCUCACUGGACUGCAACUGACACUGAUGCUCGAAAGUGUGGGUAUCAAACAGG